UACGAAGGGGGCUAGCGUUGCUCGGAAUCACUGGGCGUAAAGCGCACGUAGGCGGAUUGUUAAGUCAGGGGUGAAAUCCUGGAGCUCAACUCCAGAACUGCCUUCGAUACUGGGAGCCUUCGAGUUCGGGAGAGGUGAGUGGAACUGCGAGUGUAGAGGUGAAAUUCGUAGAUAUUCGCAAGAACACCAGUGGCGAAGGCGGCUCACUGGCCCGAUACUGACGCUGAGGUGCGAAAGCGUGGGGAGGCAAACAGG
rnacentral:rRNA from 1 species